UUACGGCCAUACCAUGCUGAAAAAUCAGUUCCCCGUACGAUCAGCGAUGUUAAGCAACGUCGAUCCUGGUCAGUACAUAGAUGGGUAACCGUUUGAGAAUACCAGCUGGUGUA